UACGUAGGGGGCUAGCGUUGUCCGGAUUUAUUGGGCGUAAAGAGCGUGUAGGCGGCCAGGUAGGUCUGCUGUGAAAGUCGGGGGCUCAACCCUCGAAUGCCGGUGGAUACUGUCGGGCUAGAGUGCGGAAGAGGCGAGUGGAAUUCCUGGUGUAGCGGUGAAAUGCGCAAAUAUCAGGAGGAACACCUAUUGCGAAGGCAGCUCGCUGGGACGUAACUGACGCUGAGACGCGAAAGCGUGGGGAGCAAACAGG
rnacentral:rRNA from 1 species